rnacentral:rRNA from 1 species
GAUGAACGCUGGCGGCGUGCCUAAUACAUGCAAGUCGAACGAAACUUCUUUAUCACCGAGUGCUUGCACUCACCGAUAAAGAGUUGAGUGGCGAACGGGUGAGUAACACGUGGGCAACCUGCCCAAAAGAGGGGGAUAACACUUGGAAACAGGUGCUAAUACCGCAUAACCAUAGUUACCGCAUGGUAACUAUGUAAAAGGUGGCUAUACUACCGCUUUUGGAUGGGCCCGCGACGCAUUAGCUAGUUGGUAGGGUAAAGGCUUACCAAGGCAAUGAUGCGUAGCCGAAUUGAGAGGUUGAUCGGCCACAUUGGGACUGAGACACGGCCCAAACUCCUACGGGAGGCAGCAGUAGGGAAUCUUCCACAAUGGGCGAAAGCCUGAUGGAGCAACGCCGCGUGGGUGAAGAAGGUCUUCGGAUCGUAAAACCCUGUUGUUAGAGAAGAAAGUGCGUGAGAGUAACUGUUCACGUUUCGACGGUAUCUAACCAGAAAGCCACGGCUAACUACGUG